UCGCUGUUCCUCCCACACGCCAGGCUCGGUCCUGCCCCAGGACCUUUGCACGUGCUGUGUCCUCUACUGGAUCACUCUUCCUUCGGUGUGGCUUGUCCUCUACAUCUGCCUGUCAUCUUCACUUCUCAAUGCCUGGCACAUGCUCCUCCAGCACAGGUGUCCUGCUGCGUCUCGUUGACUGCUGUGUCUCCAGCAUCCAGGACAGGGCCGGCACACAGAGGGUGCGCCGUGUGCUCCGUGUGUAUUUUGAGACCGGAUGGCCGAACCCUACACAUGUAUUGAGCGGCCUCUCCGGACCACGUUCUGUGCUCAGCAUCGUGGUCUCGCAUCUCCAGGAUCUGGGAGAAAGGUCACGUCCUUGGCCAGCAGCUGUAGCGGGAUGGAUGAGGGACUGGCUGGAAUUGCCCCUGCCCCCAACUCCUGGCCUGGCUGCCUGUGGCCCCUUGUGGGUGUCUGCUGCUCCUGGAGGUAGGGACGGGGCAGCGGAGGCUCCCUGAUCCCAAAUAUGACUGUCCCAGAAGGUGGCCCCUGUAGUGGUGUAACGCUCAACCCACUCAGUCUUGUCGCAGCCACCUGUCCCCAGACACUAACUGAAUCCACCAGGAAGCUUCUUCUGGUGAGCAAGCCCUGCGUUGUUUCUAACCCCAUCAACACUGCUUCCUGGAGGAGGAGGCGAUUGCAAGUCCCACGCAGCUCACAAAGCACCUGAGGCUCAGGGAGGAGGAGGGGCCUCCCCACGUCCACCCAGCAGGUAAGUAGAGGAGCUCGAGAACUCAGAUCUGAAACCUGCACUUUUACACACCCCAUGACCUCUUGCUUUGCUGUGAGAAUAAAUGAGUUCAGUCAGCUCCAUUUUACAGAUGGGGAAACUGAGGCUCUCACAGGUGGAGACACCUGUCCAGUGGAGGCUGCUCCAGCCCCUCCCUGGUCUCCUUCCUGGAUCCACUCCCACCCCCUCUGCACUUCAUCUGCUCUCUGGCCAGCAGCCACGGCGAUUCCACUAAAACAGAAUUGAGUCAGGUCAUGUCCCUAUAUGGCUUAAAUUCUCCAUAGCUCCCCAGUGCCCUGCAGACAAAAUCCACUCUUCUCAGUCCACAGGCC